rnacentral:rRNA from 1 species
UCCCUGAUACUUUAAGUAUCCUAAAGGGUUGUCGGAGACUACGACGUUGAUAGGUCAGGUGUGUAAGUGCUGUGAGGCAUUGAGCUAACUGAUACUAAUUGCCCGUGAGGCUUAACCAUACAACACCCAAGGGGUUU